rnacentral:rRNA from 1 species
AGGACGAACGCUGGCGGCGUGCUUAACACAUGCAAGUCGAACGGUAAGGCCUUUCGGGGUACACGAGUGGCGAACGGGUGAGUAACACGUGGGUGAUCUGCCCUGCACUUUGGGAUAAGCCUGGGAAACUGGGUCUAAUACCGAAUAUGACCAUUGGUUGCAUGACUGGUGGUGGAAAGCUUUUGCGGUGUGGGAUGGGCCCGCGGCCUAUCAGCUUGUUGGUGGGGUUAAGGCCUACCAAGGCGACGACGGGUAGCCGGCCUGAGAGGGUGUCCGGCCACACUGGGACUGAGAUACGGCCCAGACUCCUACGGGAGGCAGCAGUGGGGAAUAUUGCACAAUGGGCGCAAGCCUGAUGCAGCGACGCCGCGUGAGGGACGACGGCCUUCGGGUUGUAAACCUCUUCAGUAGGACGAGCGCAAGUGACGGUACCUACAGAAGAAGGACCGGCAACUACGUGCCAGCAGCCGC